UGGGGAAUAUUGCACAAUGGGCGAAAGCCUGAUGCAGCGACGCCGCGUGGGGGAUGAAGGCUUUCGGGUUGUAAACCUCUUUCGCUAUCGAACAAGGCCCGCUUAGGGUGGGUUGAGGGUAGGUGGAGAAGAAGCGCCGGCUAACUACGUGCCAGCAGCCGCGGUAAUACGUAGGGCGCGAGCGUUGUCCGGAAUUAUUGGGCGUAAAGGGCUUGUAGGCGGCUUGUUGCGCCUGCUGUGAAAACGCGGGGCUUAACUUCGCGCGUGCAGUGGGUACGGGCAGGCUUGAGUGUGGUAGGGGUGACUGGAAUUCCAGGUGUAGCGGUGGAAUGCGCAGAUAUCUGGAGGAAUACCGGUGGCGAAGGCGGCCCCCUGGACGAAGACUGACGCUCAGGUGCGAAAGCGUGGGGAGCAAACAGG
rnacentral:rRNA from 1 species